rnacentral:rRNA from 1 species
UACGGAGGGUGCUAGCGUUGUUCGGAAUUACUGGGCGUAAAGGGCGCGUAGGCGGCCGUUUGCGUCGGAUGUGAAAGCCCGGGGUUCAACCUCGGAACGGCAUUCGAUACGGGACGGCUGGAGACCGGGAGAGGAGAGUGGAAUAGCCAGUGUAGAGGUGAAAUUCGUAGAUAUUGGCUGGAACACCGGUGGCGAAAGCGGCUCUCUGGCCCGGUUCUGACGCUGAGGCGCGAAAGCGUGGGGAGCAAACAGG